rnacentral:misc_RNA from 1 species
AACGCACCUUGCGCUCUAGGGUUAUUCCUUAGAGCAUGCUUGUUUGAGUGUCUCGUACCCCUCCACCCCGCUAGGUCUUUGACCUGGUUGCCAGGGCUUGGAAUCUUGACGCGUGUUGGCUCGCAAGAGCUUCAAACUGCGUUGAAAUACAAAAAGCUGAAUCUUUUUGUGCGGCUUGACCUGUUGUCAUAACUAAAUUCAAUGGGGACGCAUGGAUCAGAACGAGCUUACCAGAAAUGUUCUUCGGAACACAGUGCAUUUUGACCUCAAAUCAAGUAGGACUACCCGCUGAACUUAA